rnacentral:rRNA from 1 species
UACGUAGGUGGCAAGCGUUGUUCGGAAUUAUUGGGCGUAAAGGGCGCGUAGGCGGCUUGUUAAGUCAGUUGUGAAAGCCCGGGGCUCAACCCCGGAGGGUCGACUGAUACUGGUGAGCUGGAGUACAGAAGAGGUAGCUGGAAUUCCCGGUGUAGCGGUGAAAUGCGUAGAUAUCAGGAGGAACACCUGCGGUGUAGACGGCUUACUGGACCAUAACUGACGCUGAGGCACGAAAGCGUGGGUAGCAAACAGG